rnacentral:rRNA from 1 species
UACGGAGGGUGCAAGCGUUGUUCGGAAUUACUGGGCGUAAAGCGUGUGUAGGCGGCGACCAUAAGUCGGGUGUGAAAGCCCUGGGCUCAACCCAGGAACUGCGCUCGAUACUGUGGCGCUUGAAUUCGGGAGAGGGACGUGGAAUUCCUGGUGUAGGGGUGAAAUCCGUAGAGAUCAGGAGGAACACUCGUGGCGAAGGCGACGUCCUGGACCGUAAUUGACGCUGAGACACGAAAGCAUGGGUAGCAAA